rnacentral:rRNA from 1 species
CCCUAGUAACUGCGAGUGAAGCGGGAAAAGCUCAAAUUUAAAAUCUGGCGGUCUUCUGGCCGUCCGAGUUGUAGUCUGGAGAAGCGUUUUCCGCGUUGGACCGUGUACAAGUUUCCUGGAACGGAGCGUCAUAGAGGGUGAGAAUCCCGUCUUUGACACGGAUCCCAAUGCUUUGUGAUGCGCUCUCAAAGAGUCGAGUUGUUUGGGAAUGCAGCUCAAAAUGGGUGGUGAAUUCCAUCUAAAGCUAAAUAUUGGCGAGAGACCGAUAGCGAACAAGUACCGUGAGGGAAAGAUGAAAAGCACUUUGGAAAGAGAGUUAAACAGUACGUGAAAUUGUUGAAAGGGAAACGCUUGAAGUCAGUCGCGUCGGCCGGGACUCAGCCUUGCAUCCGCUUGGUGUACUUUCCGGUCGACGGGCCAGCAUCAGUUUUGACCGCGAGAUAAAGGCGGAGGGAAUGUGGCUCUCUCGGGAGUGUUAUAGCCCUUUGUCAGAUGUCCCGGUUGGGACUGAGGAACUCAGCACGCCUUUAUGGACGGGGCUCGCCCACGUACGUGCUUAGGAUGCUGGCGUAAUGGCUUUAAACGACCCGUCUUGAAACACGGACCA